GGAUGUGAGGGCGAUCUGGCUGUGACAUCUGUCACUCUACGGAUCGUCAAGGUUGAUUUGGCUCAUCUGGCAGGCUAAGCAGGUGUCCCCUUCCUCCCUCCCCAUUCCAUGUGUGUCCUUCCCAAAACUGUGCGCUCCAUCGAAGAGGAUGACCUUUCCCGAUAGAAUCGAGGACCGUCCUUCGGUCCAGGGUAUGCAAGCAGCUGCCCUCCCCCCCUAGAAUCUCCAAGCAAAGAGACAAGAAUGUUAAAUAGUCAUGAAAUGCAAGAUGAAUAUUAUAAUAAAUAAAUUUUGCUUG
rnacentral:snRNA from 1 species